UACAGAGGGUGCGAGCGUUAAUCGGAAUUACUGGGCGUAAAGCGUGCGCAGAUGGUUACGUAAGUCGGGUGUGAAAGCCCCGGGCUCAACCUGGGAAUUGCAUUCGAGACUGCGUAGCUAGGGUGCGGAAGAGGGAAGCGGAAUUUCCGGUGUAGCGGUGAAAUGCGCAGAUAUCGGGAAGAACACCUAUGGCGAAGGCAGCUCUCUGGGACGGUACUGACGCUGAGACGCGAAAGCGCGGGGAGCGAACGGG
rnacentral:rRNA from 1 species